AGUCAAAGUUAUAUAGCAUCCUAGACUUCUUGAAUCAGUUGAUCUGGGAAACGCCUUGCAGCAUCCUCUCCUCCUUCCCCUAUAUGUUGCGUCUCACCACCCUUAUGCUCCCCCGUUCUCCAUAAACCCUACACUCCACCGCUACCACCACUCAAUCCUUCCGUCAUCACUCAUUACGCAUGUCGCCAAGCAACAUCAAUCGAAAGGAUUAACCUUUUGAAUCGGUUAAUACUGAACUGGUAUUCCUCACAUUCAGCAUAUUCAAAUAAAAAACGUGUUCGAUUCAUUGGUAUCUUGCGUUUCUUCCAUACAACUCCUCCACCUUCUCUUUCCUCUUCACAUGAUUACUUCCCUUCUCUCCAAACUCAUAUUCAGUUUCUUUCUUUUCUUCAUUCACUUUUUCUCUUGGCCAUCGCAGCACCACACAAACACACACAUACACACCCUUUGAUGUCAUGGCUUCCGACGGCAACAACCAACACGAUUUAUGUUAUGCUUCAGUAGUUAAUCAAUCGAUUAUCUAUAUUGCUGGUUAUAAAAUAAGAGAGAUUUGAGUAUUCUGAAUGAAAACCCUAUACCUUGGACUCAGCCGAUUUGCAAGAAUUCCUCUGUUAGAACCACCACUUCAUCACCUUCUUACCCCCAGCAUUGCCGCUGGGUAUGUGAUAAGUGUGGUAAGAUUCCAAAUAAAACUACGAAAAUGAUCACUGGUACUCAUUGCAUCAAUUCACCAAUCGACUCAUGUAUCCUCUGCCUAGAAAACAUGGAUACACAAUAGAGCAAGCCUACAUGCCUAAAAGAUAGAGAUUAAACUUGAACUUCAUGAACGAUCUUUAUAGAAAUCGUGUUGUCAGAGUAAAGAUUCUAGAGGGUAAAGGUAAAGAAAUGCAUUUCCUAUGAAACAGAAGGAUGUGAAAUCCCAUGUGAUGUUAACUGUAUUGUUUGUGUAGAUCUAAUUUUGUAUAUGUACACAUUUAACUUUUAGGAAAAUGUCAUGGGCACAUAUUGCUAAUGGCUUUAUAUUUACAUAUAGUUUUUUCCCAGACCCAAGAGUUAUUUAAAUUUUAUUGGGGAUAAUGUUUUUUUUGAAGGGAGAGGAAUAUAUGGAUUAAAAGGAAGAUUAAAAGGAAAAAAGUUAUUAAGAUUUUAUUGUAAACUAAUUAAUUACUAUUGAUGAUUUUGUUGGAAAGUAUUUAAUUAUUAUUUUAUCUUUUAAAAACAAAUAAAGUCUUUGAUGGUAGUGGUAAGAAAAGUCAACGGAAUAUUUAGUUGUCUAAUGGUCAUCAUAUUUAGAGUAAUGUCGGGUAAUCUUUCGCUUGGACUUAGAAAAUCAUUAAACCAUUUAGAUCUUUGGUACUUAUACUCACUUUUGUCAAAAGAAUUUAAAAACUAUAACCACAACUAACACUUUCUUUUUACUCUUCCUUUUUCCUUAUCACAUACAAGAACUAACAUUUUAUUAAUCUCUUUUGUUCUGUUCUGGGAAGGGUUUUUUCCCCUGGUUAUGAAGGUGUAGUUUAUGAUGUCAUAAGUUGUAGUCGGUGGGGUUCCGAGAUCAUGGUUGAUGAAACCCGUUGUAUGGGUGUGGUAUGCCUAAGAGGUGAUGUUAGAUGUGAUCUAGGUUAUAUCUCUCCAAAGCUCGUUGCUUGCAUGGCAGUUCACGGUUGCAACAAGGAGACUAAGGUAUAGUUGAAAGUGAUAAGUGGUUUGUUUAUGAUGGUGAAGAAGAUUAUGACAAGAAGUAGUGGAUGUCAAUUCAUAGUCGCGGGUUGCUUCAAACCGUGGGGGGCUUGUAUGAAACUCGGUUUAGUGGUUGUAAGGUGAUAUAUACUGAUCCAUUUCGUAUUGUUUUGGAAUUUGACAUGUUUGUGAAUUGAAACUACGCCACACAGAAACUAUUCAUCGAAUUGAGUUAAUAUUUGUAUGUAAACUAUUCAUUGAAAUGAAAUUAACAAUCGCAGCCACAUCGUACAUGUAUCCCAUUAUCUACUUAUAUAUUGUACUCUAAACUCAAUAACCUAAACAAUAAACCGUAGACUGUAACAUAAACCCUAAACAAAAAUACCAAAUAUUAAUCCGAAAUUACUAUGUUUUGUUAAUUAAUUUACAUCA